AAGGGGAACAGCUGAUUCACCAAAACAAAACGGCAGAGCAAAUUAAGCACGCGUUUUUUUUUGAUUGCUGUGUCAGGGGAAGAAUAAUUUGCUUUUCAACAAAAAUUUGCAACGGAAAAUAUGCAAAUCUAGUGUCCGUUCAGACCGUUUCGGUUUCCGAAAGUCACAGGGAAGAAAUCACUUCAAUUGGUGUGGAAGAACUAGGAAAUUAAAGAAAACCCCAGGACCGCACCAAAAACACAAACACUUCACUUG